UGAGCUCGCCACCUUUCUUCACAUUACAGGCUGUUUUGGCUGAGGUUGCCAUCGAAGAGGAGCAUGUCAAAACGGCGGAGGUUUCCAUCGCUGGGUAGCAGCGUAGUGGAGGUUGUGGUUAGAUUGAAUUAAUAAGGGAUUUAACAUGAAGAAUCUGUAAAGGGGACUGUUUCGGUGAUGGACGAGGUCAGACGUCGCGAUCGAACGAAGAACAAAGACGAACCCUAAACUUCUGUGACGGCGUGAAGCAAAGAUUAGAGUCGACUGGUUUGUUCGGCAUGAGGCCCAAAACAAUAGUAAAGCCCACACAAAAUAAUGGGACACGUGGCGACUUGAGGUAGAC
rnacentral:lncRNA from 1 species